rnacentral:misc_RNA from 1 species
GCAAUAUGUUUCAUGAUGACGAUACGAGAGUGGUUUGAGAAUGCUUGCAUGUAACCAGGGUGGUAAAACCUCUGGUCCAAAUUUUUUUAGGGUCAUCUGGAUAUAUGUGCAUUUGAAAUGAAAGUGGACUUGAAUUUAUGCCAUCAUAAGCUUGAAGUGAAAAUUCUUAAACAACAACUUUAAUAUAAAAUUCAAAUACUGUUUCAUUUCAAAUUCUCAUCUAUCCAAACACAUCUCAAAAUCAAAUGUAUAUGAAAAUGACUGCAGUUCAAAGCACUAAUAGAAGCAAACACUACUGUACAUUUGUUUGCAACUGUUAACUGCAGGGUGUUCAAAACUUAUAACAUGUAAUUCCAUAUUUGUAUUUUUGAACAUCUCAACCAGGUUGAAGGUAUAUGAACAGUCAGUAAACAAGCUUCAGCAUGAUAUAUUCCAAAUUCUAUGAAGCUAAAACCCAAAGGGCAAUCAAAUUAGACUAAGAUUAUCUUCAGGUAAUUGCAACAGCCAAUUUCGGACUUCAAUUGUGAGAAACUUACAUGAGCAAAUGAGAAAGAUAAUUUGGUAAGUAAUGCUAACCAUACUGUGUACAAAAUUUGCACCUGAAGACAUCAGUAUUUCUAUGAACAGUGCUAAAAAAAUCCUCCUUUUAGUUACAACAGAGGAUCAAAACAUCAUCAG